ACGGGGCAGCAUUGGGGAAUAUUGCACAAUGGGGGAAACCCUGAUGCAGCGACGCCGCGUGAGUGAAGAAGUAUUUCGGUAUGUAAAGCUCUAUCAGCAGGGAAGAAAACAAUGACGGUACCUGACUAAGAAGCCCCGGCUAACUACGUGCCAGCAGCCGCGGUAAUACGUAGGGGGCAAGCGUUAUCCGGAUUUACUGGGUGUAAAGGGAGCGUAGACGGUGAGGCAAGUCUGAAGUGAAAGCCCGGGGCUCAACCCCGGGACUGCUUUGGAAACUGUCUGACUAGAGUGCAGGAGAGGUAAGUGGAAUUCCUAGUGUAGCGGUGAAAUGCGUAGAUAUUAGGAGGAACACCAGUGGCGAAGGCGGCUUACUGGACUGUAACUGACGUUGAGGCUCGAAAGCGUGGGGAGCAAACAGGAUUAGAUACCCUGGUA
rnacentral:rRNA from 1 species